rnacentral:lncRNA from 1 species
GUCUGUAGCUGUGUCGCCGGCGGCUGCGGGGCCUCUGGGUUGCUUUCCCUCUCGCUCCCGAGUGCCGCGAGUUCCAGGCGGUCCCCGGGAUCGCCAGCGGCACAGGGCCCCAGCCCUUCGCCCGCGCAUCGGGAUGGGGGUCCUAGCCGGUGGGAGCUGCCUGUCCCUCGAGCGCCAGCUACCCGCGUUGUCCAGCGCUCCGGCCUCGGCCCGGCCCUCCUGCCUCCUGGCUGUUAGGUUCUGAAUGUUCCGGAAAUGCCACGUGACCGCGAGGGCGCUUGGGCUUGGGCUGGACAGGCCGGGGAUCUCACCGCGGCGGGCCCGGCUGUCCCGCUUGGGCGUCCUCAGUGGAACCGCACACCCUUUCUCAGCGCGCCGGUCGUUUGGUCCUGUAGGGCCGAGGGGAAUUCGUGCGGUGUUGAGCACGCGGGAAGCACUUAACGAAAGGGAGCUGCCCCUCAGCCCUCGUGAGUCCGAUGUAAAGGAGUGAAGGAGACGAAGAACUGAAUCAGUAGUUGACCGCCUGUGAGCUGGCGAGCUGUGCCCUGGUAGGGCCUUAAAUCCCAGCCCCAGAAGUCGGAGGCAGGGCAGGCACCCCAAAGCGUGGAAGAGAUGCACCUGCGGAGUGAAAAUGCUGCUAUUGCUUCUAGGGUCAGCCUUGGUUCCUGGAACAAAGGAGCCGCAUGACUCGGGUCUGGCGAUGAUGUUGGGCUCUGCAGUGUCCUCAUCCUUCCCCCUCUCUGGGUAAUGAUAUCUUCCCAGGGUUUAAAGUGUGUCCUCUCUGCCAGUAGCUUGUCUCCACAGCCUCAUCUUUAAUUCCACCUGCCCCACCCAUUUUGGACACUGCAGCCAAGUUGCAGCAGAUCCGCAAACCUGGUAAUCCCUCACUUGAAAGUGCUGGAGGCUUUAGGAUGGGGUUCAGGGCCUGUGCAAUCUAACCGCCUGCUUUUUUUUUUUUUUUUUUUUUUUUUUUUUUGAGACGGAGUCGAAUCUCACUGUCUCCCAGGCUGGAGUGCAGUGGCGCCAUCACAGCUCAUUGCAGCCUCAACCUCCUGAGCUCAAGCCAUCCUCCCACCUCAGCCUCCCAAGUACCUGGGGUUACAGGCAAGCACCAUUACGCCUAGCUAAUUUUUCUGGGUUUUUUUUUUUUGUUUUUUUUUUUGUAUAGAUGGAUUUCGCCAUGUUGUCCAGGCUGGUCUUAAACUCUCGCUCUGUCUCCCAGGCUAGAGUGCAGUGGGGCAAUCUCGGCUCCCUGCAACCUCUGCCUCCUGGGUUCAAGCAAUUAUCCUGCCUCAGCCUACCAGUUAGCUGGGAUUACAUGUGUGCGCCACCGCGCCCGGCUAAUUUUUUUAUUUUUAGUAGAGGCGGGGUUUCACCAUGUUGACCAGGCUGGUCUCAAGACUACUGACCUCAAGUGAUCCCCCCCCCCCCCCGCGGCCUCCCAAAGUGCUGGGAUUACAG